UAGAUUUUUCUUUUUCCCUAGACUUCUCAGCAGAAUGCAGACCUUUUAAAGAGUACACGUUUAAGUUAGGGGAGGUAAAACCUCUCUGCUUUCUAUGUGGAAAGUGAAUUCUGUUGGGGGUGGGUGGUGUGCCCCUGUAGUCCAAGCUACUUAGAAGGCUGAGGUGGGAGGAUGGCUUGAGCCAAGGAGUUUGAGACCAGCAUGGGCAACACAGCGAGGCCCUGCCUCCAAAGGAAAAAAAAAAAAAAAAAAAGACAGUAAUUGAUUGCCUGAUUGACAGAGUCCCACUCUGUCACCGAGGCUGGAGUGCAGUGGCGUAGUCAUAGCUCACUGCAGCCUCGACAUCCUGGACUCAAGCGAUUUUCCUGACUCAGCCUACCAAGUAACUGGGACUAUAGGCGUGCACCACCAUGCUCCACUAAUUUAAAAAAAAAUUGUUUUGUAAAGACAGGGUCUCUAUGUUGCCCAGGCUGGUCUGGAACUCCUGGCCUCAAGCAAUCUUCUGUCCUCAGCCUCCCAAAGUCCAAAAAGGAUUACAAGCGCGAGCCACUGCACCUGACCAGGAAUUUUUAAAAUUGAUACAUAAUAGAGGUACACAUUUUCAGGAUACAUGUCAUAAUUUUUUUUUUCUUUUUGAGAUAGGGUCUCACUCUGUUGCCCAGGCUGGAGUACAGUGGCAGGAUCAUAGCUCACUGCAGCCUCAGCCUCUUGAGUUCAAGUGAUCUUUAUGCCUGAGCCACCCAAGCAGCUAGGACCACAGGUGCCCACCACCACGCCUGGCUAAUUUGUUAUUUUCUGCAGAGAUGAUGUCUUGCUA
rnacentral:lncRNA from 10 species